GAUUGAUGUGGAUUGCUAAUUUAAAUAGCUCACGCUACGGUAUUGCGUGAACAGUUAACAUCAUAAUUAUUGUAUGUGGGGUUUUGUUUUGCGGGUUGCAAAUGUUCAACCAAAACCUUCCAGAGACUAUUUUACAGAUCCACUGUUGCUGCGUCCAGAGCUUAGCACCACCCAAGACGAUGGUGAUUGGUUUAAAGAAAUGCAAACAACCCUGGGUGUUUCUUUCUCCUAUUCCAGAAUAUAUAUGUGGUGAAGUUAGACCUUCUUACACAGCGCUGCAGAGGAAG